CUGUCUGCCUGUAGCUUCUGUGGUAUCAAUAUGGAACUGCCUGCAGCAAUCAUAACUUAAGCAAAUAAUAGCAAAUAUUACUCCCUUCCUCAUAAUGAAACCUCUCCAUCCACUGACGUUCCCUUUUUUUUCCUCCACGCCCAUUUGGUUAACUGUUGAAAAAACGAAAAUCAUUUUUUAAAGACUUUCAUCAUUGCCGACCUCCCCCACAUUUCUAGGCUGUGUCUAAUACUGAGAUCUGUAAAAUCUCUUUCCCCAGAGACAAUUGUUUGCAUAAAGCUCAACUAGAUUCUGCAUAAUUCAUUCUCUUUACAUAACUGGAUAGAGGGCUGAAAUAAAGCCGUCUGUAAUGGUUGGGGGAUAAAAUGUCUAAUAUUGUUGGGGGAGAAUAGGAUAAAGAUAGU